GUGCCAGAAGGUCACAAUCAGCUCAUUGUUUGCCUCAAGACUGAGGACAAGUCAUUUCAUACAUCAUUGCCUCAGUUUCCUCAUGGGUAAAAAAAGGCCAGAAUACAAGCAGUGCAAAUAAUCCUGCAAUUCACAAGGCUAUUGUGAGGAAAACACUUGGAAACCAAUGUUACUUAGAGCCCAGACAGGCCGUGAAGACAGGCCCAAAGACUCUCCCAGCUUACCAACCAAGUAAAAGGCAAGCAGGAGAGAUGGAUUUUUGAAGUGACGACCCUGGAGUUUCAUUUGGAAGUCCCUGUGUUUGUGCAGACAAAGCUGACUGGCAGGAGGAAUUUUCUGUAAGUUUCUCCUCAGAGAAGAUGACCACGGCAAAGAACAUGGAUCCCAGUUGUGCUCUGGCUUGCAGGAAGAUACAGAGCUUGAGGGAGAUGUUCUGAAAGUACAAAGUCAAGGUGAAGAUGAAAUCCCUAUUUGACAGCCC
rnacentral:lncRNA from 1 species